CGCAGUAGCAAUACUGAGUGGCAAACGGGUGAGUAUAAUGUGGGAAUCUGCCUUUUGGUACGGAAUAGCCUCGGGAAACUGGGAGUAAUACCGUAUGUGCCCUUCGGGGGAAAGAUUUAUCGCCAAAGGAUUGGCCCGCGUUGGAUUAGGUAGUUGGUGGGGUAAUGGCCUACCAAGCCGACGAUCCAUAGCUGGUUUGAGAGGAUGGACAGCCACAUUGGGACUGAGAUACGGCCCAGACUCC
rnacentral:rRNA from 1 species